AUCGACCGAACCAAAGUGAGAAAAAAAAAAGAAUCCAUGCUUUAUCGCAGACUUAAAUUUCCCAUUUUGUCAUUCUAACCAAGUGUUUUUUCUAUAGCAUAUGCUUCAUCCGCUAAGACAUACAGUUAUGCUUAGACCAAUGAAUCUGAAUCAGCAGCUCUGCUGGAAACUCUAUGGACAGUUCAGGUUUAUCUUAGUUCUUUAAUAUCGUCUCCUCAGUUCCAUCUGCAACCUUCUCAGAUAUCUCUGUUGAUUUAUUUUUAGGAUUGAUUAAUAUGACCUUUCUAAGCUGCCUGAAAAUACUCUCGCGUCUCCGUUGUAGGAAAUAACUGAAAUAACCAAGCUCGAAACACUCACAAUGGUGAGAUCCUUGCCUCUGUUAGGAAUGAAACAGCUCAGGACUCUUUUUCAAUUGCAUUGCAAAAAUUGACGAUCUAGAGAAGGAAGCAGGCUGGUAAUAUAUUGCCCGCAUUGGCUACCAAACAAAAGUAAACAGGGGUCCUGCAUUAUUGAUGUUCUCAAAAUGGGGUGCUGACAAUGCUAAUGGUAUGGUAAAGUAAUUUCACACGUUCAUCUACGAUAAUGCCAAGAAGGAAACAUUUUUGUGCUGCUUGGUGACGCCGGUGAAUACCUCACGGGAAGACAAGCCUCUGAUUUACUUGACACGUAUCUGGAGAGACUUGGUUCUGGUCAAGAAAUGGAAACUCCUCAAUGCCUGGUCAACUCCAUCGGCCUGACCCACAAAUUCAAGGUGAAAGUAACACCAUACAACUUCACAGCCAAAAGACAGAUUAUUACCGCCACCAGGGUGUCUGUCCUGCAGUACCCCCACCUCCUAAUCCUACAAGGCUACACUGGACAUCCCCAUCGCUGCUUAAGAUGUGCCUGACAAACUCAUUGACAAGAAUGAUGUCAACAACUCAGCCCAAUUGACAGAGAUGUAGCCAGUGUUUAAUGGUGAGUCAAGUUCAUCAACCAAGGACGAGGACCAGAAAGUGAAACAAAACAUCGUGGGCGUUGUGCCUAGGACCUCAGCCCCUCCACGUACUGACCCAGUUGGAAUCCUUGGAGACCAUUGCGACGUCCAACAUCGUCCAGUUGUAAUCAAAAGAAGUGUGACAUGUUAUUUUCUGAGAAAACUCAGGACAUACAUAUGGCUCGGUUAGUGUUUCAACAAUAAAACAUAUGGCUCGGUUAGAACCUAGUAAACCAAAUAAAACGAACACAUACAGAUUAUUUAAAAUAAAGGUUUAUACUCCCUCCGUUCCUUAAUGAUGGAUUUUUUAGAAAAAAGUUUGUUUCAAAAAGAUGUAUUUUUUGUGUUUUCUAUGAAAAAUUUGUAAACUUCAAAAAAAUUAAUUGACUUUAUUGAAUUACUAUUUGGUAAAAAUUAUUGAAAAUUGAAAAUUAUAGAAAACGAUACAUUUAUUAUGGUAGUUUAAUGUGUUUUCUUAAUAUGUGUCAAAAUACUAAAAAGUCUAUAUUUGUGGAACGGAGGGAGUAUAAUAGUAUAUCUGUAUAUCAAGUAUACGAUAUAAUCAUAUAAUUGACAAUAUAAAGUUUGGCUGCUUAAUUAUAUGAACUUCGUUCUUAAAAGUUUGAUUUUUACUUUAUUUUAGUCUUUUUAGAAGUCCAAAUUUGUUUUCUAUUUCUUUUGGAUUAUUCAAAUUGAAUUACAUAGGUAAAAUAGAAAAUGCCAUAAAUUCCCUAAUAUCAAUGUCUAAAGGUUAGUUCCCCGAACUUCAUAUUUGGUCAUGAAAAUAUAGUCAUCAUCUUACUCUUGACAAAAGAGUGGAACUAGCUCCCACCCCAAAUGAUAUACGAAGCUAAUAUAGUUAACAUUAAGGGAAAAUUGGAAAAAUGGGACACUUUGGACUUUUAUUUGUCACAAUAGUACUUCUGAUAUUUUGGGCAAUUCUGGACAACUUUUACCCUUCUUUUAUGGUAAAAAUAGUAAACUGAAUUUUAAAAAUGUUAAAAAAUAUGAAAACUAUUGGAAACAUAAGUAUGACAAUAUAUAUGUUUUAAAUUUUUUUUUUAAAAGCGGAAUCAUAUUUUAUUUUAUCUUCUGGCUACAGUUAGAAUACUCAUUCUGGUCAUCUACUUAGUCUAGAUAUCAGAUACUAAGUUUUAUACAUAGAUAUAUCUUGGGUAUACAACGUAAACUAGCUUUUCUUAUAUAUUCUAACCAAACUAUAUUUCAAAACGUUAUAAU